rnacentral:rRNA from 1 species
GACGAACGCUGGCGGCGUGCUUAACACAUGCAAGUCGAACGGAAAGGCCCUGCUUUUGUGGGGUGCUCGAGUGGCGAACGGGUGAGUAACACGUGAGUAACCUGCCCUUGACUUUGGGAUAACUUCAGGAAACUGGGGCUAAUACCGGCUAGGAGCUCCUGCUGCAUGGUGGGGGUUGGAAAGUUUCGGCGGUUGGGGAUGGACUCGCGGCUUAUCAGCUUGUUGGUGGGGUAGUGGCUUACCCAGGCUUUGACGGGUAGCCGGCCUGAGAGGGUGACCGGCCACAUUGGGACUGAGAGACGGCCCAGACUCCUACGGGAGGCAGCAGUGGGGAAUAUUGCACAAUGGGCGGAAGCCUGAUGCAGCAACGCCGCGUGCGGGAUGACGGCCUUCGGGUUGUAAACCGCUUUCGCCUGUGACGAAGCGGGAGUGACGGUAAUGGGUAAAGAAGCACCGGCUAACUACGUG